rnacentral:rRNA from 1 species
CCUACGGGGGGCUGCAGUGGGGAAUAUUGGACAAUGGGCGAAAGCCUGAUCCAGCCAUGCCGCGUGUGUGAAGAAGGCCUUCGGGUUGUAAAGCACUUUCAGUGGGGAAGAAAGCCUUGGGGCUAAUACCCUCGAGGAAGGACAUCACCCACAGAAGAAGCACCGGCUGAACUCCGUGCCAGCAGCCGCGGUAAUACGGAGGGUGCGAGCGUUAAUCGGAAUUACUGGGCGUAAAGCGCGCGUAGGCGGUCUGAUAAGCCGGUUGUGAAAGCCCCGGGCUCAACCUGGGAACGGCAUCCGGAACUGUCAGGCUAGAGUGCAGGAGAGGAAGGUAGAAUUCCCGGUGUAGCGGUGAAAUGCGUAGAGAUCGGGAGGAAUACCAGUGGCGAAGGCGGCCUUCUGGACUGACACUGACGCUGAGGUGCGAAAGCGUGGGUAGCAAACAGGAUUAGAUACCCCGGUAGUC